AACUACCCUGUCGAACAACUCGACAGGUACCUGUCGAACUACGGUUGUUCGACAAGUACCCCUGUUGAACCACGGUUGUUCGACGAGGUG
rnacentral:pre_miRNA from 2 species